rnacentral:lncRNA from 1 species
CCUUAACCUCAUGUUCUUACUAUGUUACAAAGUGUAAAAACACCAAAUCCAAAGCAAGAGGCAAGGACACGGGUGCAUAACUGGGGAGCAGAGAAAAAGGAGAAGCAGGCGUUGCCAUGAUUUGAUUUCCUGAGAAGAGGGAAAGAUGUGUUGCUCCCCGGGAGUCCCUCAUCUGAGAAGCAUGGCUCUUCCUAACCUAAAACGCCCUCAUGACCUCAUAAGACGCCACUGAACUCAUGCGGGUGGCUGUUUAGUGAUUAAUCAUCCCAGGUGAUGGGGACCCCACACUACUACUAAUGACGAUGAUGACAGAUGACGCUUAUUGGACGUGUCAGGCAUUGUUCUAGGACUUUACCUUUAUUAAUUGAUUAAUCCUCCAACACAACUCUGUGAGGUGGCUGUGAUGACAUCAACCACUACAAGGGGAAGAAAAAGAAACAACAGGAAAUUCUGCGUUCAGCUAUUAACUGAUAAAUGAAGGAGGAACUGGCUUUUAAAGUCUUCAACUGAUUGGAUGAGGCCCACCCACACUAUGGAAGCUGAGUCCAGGCCAUGAGAAAUCCAAGAUGAAGGCAGAGAGCUGCUUCUUUGGAUGACCAAAGGGGGUUACCGAAGUGGAGAACAGAAUCUGUGGUGGCGUAUGGAACGGCCGUCAUUCAUUCACCCGACAAUGAUGUAUUGAAGGCUUAGUAUGGCAAGAACUAGGCUAACCAGGCACUGGUGGGUAAAAUAGAGAGAUAAGCAGCCCUCCCAGAGCUUGCUGCCGAGUGAGAAGCAAACAUGAAACAAUCAAUCACGCCCAUAAGUGUAAAACUGCAGUCUCGGUAAGAGAUGCGGCAGCAAGAACACAGAGCUGGACCACCUAUAAGGGAUUUACCUUAAUGGGGAAGGUAGGCAGCUGUUGCUGGAGUUUAGAUCUGAAGGAUACGCUGGGCAAGAGGGAAGGAAGUGUGUUCCUGGCAGAGGGAGCAGCAUAAACACAGGGGCUGCAGUCAGAGAAGGGGGGAGUGUGCAAGACGACUCCAGAAAAAUGAUCAGGCCAUGCAGGGUUUGGGUCUUCAUCCUAAAUGGGUCUUUAGGCUGUUAAAGCCCCUAUUACUUGACAAUUCCACUCUUAGGCAUUUACCCAAGAGAAAUGAAAACUUAUGUCCCCAAAAGACUUAACACGAAUAUUCAUAGCAGCCUUAAAAUAGCCUAAAACUGGAAAUAAUACAAAUGUCCAUCAACAAGAGAAUGGAUAAAUAAAUUACAGUAUAUUCAUACUCAAUUGAAAGGAAUGAACACACAACAACACAGAAUACUCUCAAAAAGAUUAUGCUGAGUAAAAUAGCCAGACAUAAAAACAUCUAUACUGUAUAUUUGUAUGAAAUCCAAAACCAGGCAAAACUAAUCUAUGGCGAUAAAAAUCAGAAAGUGGCUGGUUCUGGGUGUGGGGGCCAGGCAGGGGGUGACAUGACUGGAAAAGGGG